rnacentral:rRNA from 1 species
AACUCAAAGGAAUUGACGGGGGCCCGCACAAGCGGUGGUGCAUGUGGUUUAAUUCGACGCAACGCGAAGAACCUUACCUGGGCUUGACAUGCCGCGAGUAGGAAACCGAGAGGGGACCGACCGGUUCAGUCCGGAAGCGGAACAGGUGCUGCAUGGCUGUCGUCAGCUCGUGCCGUGAGGUGUUGGGUUCAGUCCCGCAACGAGCGCAACCCUCGCCCUCUGUUGCCACCGGGUCAUGCCGGGCACUCUGAGGGGACUGCCAGCGACAAGUUGGAGGAAGGAGAGGAUGACGUCAAGUCAUCAUGGCCCUUAUGCCCAGGGCCACACACGUGCAACAAUGGCCGGUACAGACGAAAGCAAGACCGAGAGGUGGAGUAAAUCCGAGAAAGCCGGGCCCAGUUCGGAUUGAGGUCUGCAACUCGACCUCAUGAGGUCGGAAUCGCUAGUAAUCGCGUGCCAGCAGCCGCGGUAAUACGUUCCCGGGCCUUGCACACACCGCCCGUCAGUGUGCCAGCCGCCGCGGUAAUACGUAGGUGUGCCAGCAGCCGCGGUAAGUGCACACACCGCC